rnacentral:rRNA from 1 species
UACGGGGGGGGCAAGCGUUGUUCGGAAUUACUGGGCGUAAAGGGCUCGUAGGUGGCCAACUAAGUCGGACGUGAAAUCCCUCGGCUUAACCGGGGAACUGCGUCCGAUACUGGUUGGCUUGAGUUUGGGAGAGGGAUGCGGAAUUCCAGGUGUAGCGGUGAAAUGCGUAGAUAUCUGGAGGAACACCUGCGGUGUAGACGGCUUACUGGACCAUCACUGACGCUGAGGCACGAAAGCGUGGGUAGCAAACAGG